AUUGAACGCUGGCGGCAUGCCUUACACAUGCAAGUCGAACGGCAGCACGGGAGCAAUCCUGGUGGCGAGUGGCGAACGGGUGAGUAAUAUAUCGGAACGUGCCCAGUCGUGGGGGAUAACGUAGCGAAAGCUACGCUAAUACCGCAUACGAUCUAUGGAUGAAAGCGGGGGAUCGCAAGACCUCGCGCGAUUGGAGCGGCCGAUAUCAGAUUAGGUAGUUGGUGAGGUAAAGGCUCACCAAGCCGACGAUCUGUAGCUGGUCUGAGAGGACGACCAGCCACACUGGGACUGAGACACGGCCCCAGACUCCUACGGGAGGCAGCAGUGGGGAAUUUUUGGACAAUGGCGCAAGCCUGAUCCAGCAAUGCCGCGUGCAGGAUGAAGGCCUCGG
rnacentral:rRNA from 1 species